GUCUACGGCCACGCUGCCCUGAACAAGCCCGAUGUCUGAUCUCGGAAGCUAAGCAGGGUCGGGCCUGGUUAGUACUCGGAUGGGAGACCACCUAGGACGACCAGGUGCUGCAGGCG
rnacentral:rRNA from 1 species